rnacentral:misc_RNA from 1 species
CUGAAUUGUCGACACGAGUUGUUGCUGGUCCUCUAACGGGGGCACGUGCACGCUCUGUUUACACAUCCACUCACACCUGUGCACCCUCUGUAGUUCUGUGGUUUAGGGGACUCUGUCCCCCUGCCGUGGUUCUAUAUCUUUUACACACACUCUGUAAUAAAGUCUCAUGGAAUGCAUACCGCGUUUAACGCAAUACAAUA